rnacentral:rRNA from 1 species
UGGGGAAUCUUGGACAAUGGGGGCAACCCUGAUCCAGCCAUGCCGCGUGGGUGAAGAAGGCCUUAGGGUUGUAAAGCCCUUUCAGUCGUGACGAUGAUGACGGUAGCGACAGCAGACGCCCCGGCUAACUCCGUGCCAGCAGCCGCGGUAAUACGGAGGGGGCAAGCGUUGUUCGGAUUUACUGGGCGUAAAGGGCGCGUAGGCGGACGGUCUAGUCAGAGGUCAAAGGCCCGGGCUCAACCUGGGACGUGCCUUUGAAACUGAUUGUCUUGAGUGCGGAAGAGGGUGACGGAAUUCCCAGUGUAGAGGUGAAAUUCGGAGAUAUUGGGGAGAACACCGGUGGCGAAGGCGGUCACCUGGGCCGCAACUGACGCUGAGGCGCGAAAGCGUGGGGAGCAAACAGGAUUAGAUACCCCCGUAGUCC